AACAAAGAGUAAGAGAAAUCUGGGAUUCCUGUCGCCGAUGUUCCAUGCUCGAACACUCGAAGGAGGAUACAUGAUCGAGGCAAAUUCAAAAAUAUUAAGCGCCUGGUUGCCGGAAACGCUUGGACGAUUGCAUUUCGGAAGGAAGUUUGCCAGACGGGGUGAGGAGGCGGUGUCUCGAUUCCGGAGAAAUCGGAAUCGAAUGGAAUCGAUCGGCCGGAAAGGAGCGGUAGAAGGCGCAGUCGAAGACCAACCGCUUUAUUUUCGCCGGUGAUAGUGAGCGUCAGAUUGAGAUUCAUGAGGAACUUGUUGCCAACUUCGAGGAGGGCUUCCCUUGGCCAUUCCAGGAACCAAUCGAUGGUCGUGCAGUUGAUCAGGCUCGGGAAAUCGCAGGUUUACCUGUACGUUCUUCGAAUUCGUCUGGGCGGACAUGUUCAGAGUCAGCACGCUGUAUUUCUCCUCGUCUAGGAAGUUUAAUACCGACUGCAGUAUCGACGUCUUUCCAGUGCCUACGGGACCUACUAUAAGAACUGGGAAUUGGUUCUUUAGCAGCGAGUUCACGAUGAACUCGUAUCGAACUGUGUCUACGGUCGGCACUACUAUCUUGUAGAACGGCAUCCUGAGAAAUAAAAUUUUUUUGGUAUACGAUAGUGUAAUACAGGGGCACAAAUAGAAACAUACACUUUCGUUGGAAAGUCUUAGAAGAACCAAUAAAGUCUUGGAAAGAUAAUAAAAUGUAAAUUGUUUAAAAUUACCUUGACUGGAUUCUCCAUACCGGAGGCAAUCUUUCUUCCCAGGAAACGAACGAUCGUAGUCGAGAGUCUACAAAG